UAGGAAUCUUCCACAAUGGACGCAAGUCUGAUGGAGCAACGCCGCGUGAGUGAAGAAGGUUUUCGGACCGUAAAGCUCUGUUGUUGGUGAAGAAGGAUAGAGGUAGUAACUGGCCUUUAUUUGACGGUAAUCAACCAGAAAGUCACGGCUAACUACGUGCCAGCAGCCGCGGUAAUACGUAGGUGGCAAGCGUUGUCCGGAUUUAUUGGGCGUAAAGCGAGCGCAGGCGGAAGAAUAAGUCUGAUGUGAAAGCCCUCGGCUUAACCGAGGAAUUGCAUCGGAAACUGUUUUCUUGAGUGCAGAAGAGGAGAGUAGAACUCCAUGUGUAGCGGUGGAAUGCGUAGAUAUAUGGAAGAAUACCAGUGGCGAAGGCGGCUCUCUGGUCUGCAACUGACGCUGAGGCUCGAAAGCAUGGGUAGCGAACAGGAUUAGAUACCCUGGUAGUCCAUGCCGUAAACGAUGAGUGCUAAGUGUU
rnacentral:rRNA from 1 species